UCAAGUGACUAAGUGCAUGUGGCGGAUGCCUUGGCGAUCACAGGCGAAGAAAGACGCGGCAGCCUGCGAAAAGCUGCGGGGAGCUGGCAAACGAGCUUUGAUCCGCAGAUAUCUGAAUGGGGGAACCCACACCGCAAGGUGUAUCCGUGACUGAAUACAUAGGUUACGGAGGCGAACGAGGAGAACUGAAACAUCUAAGUAUCCUCAGGAAGAGAAAUCAACCGAGAUUCCGGCAGUAGCGGCGAGCGAACCCGGAGGAGCCUAGCUUUUGAUAGUACGAACUUUAGCCGAAAGGUCCUGGAAAGGCCUGCUAUAGUGGGUGAUAGCCCCGUAGGCGAAAGAGUUCGUACGGUACUAAGGAAGCGAGAAGUAGAGCGGGACACGUGGAAUCCUGUUCGAAGAUGGGGGGACCAUCCUCCAAGGCUAAAUACUCGUGAUCGACCGAUAGUGAACCAGUACCGUGAGGGAAAGGCGAAAAGAACCCCGGGAGGGGAGUGAAAUAGAACCUGAAACCGCAUGCAUACAAACAGUAGGAGCCUCGUCAGAGGUGACUGCGUACCUUUUGCAUAAUGGGUCAGCGACUUACAUUCUGUGGCGAGCUUAACCGAAUAGGGGAGGCGCAGCGAAAGCGAGUUCGAAAUGAGCGUCCAGUCGCAGGGUGUAGACCCGAAACCAGAUGAGCUAUCCAUGGCCAGGUUGAAGGUGUGGUAACACACACUGGAGGACCGAACCGACUAGUGUUGCAAAAUUAGCGGAUGAGCUGUGGAUAGGGGUGAAAGGCCAAACAAAUCUGGAGAUAGCUGGUUCUCCCCGAAAACUAUUGAGGUAGUGCCUCGUGUGUCGCUCCAGGGGGUAGAGCACUGUUUUGGCUAGGGGGACAUGGAGUCUUACCAAACCAAGGCAAACUCCGAAUACCUGGAAGCGUAAGCACGGGAGACAGAGCACCGGGUGCUAACGUCCGGACUCAAAAGGGAAACAACCCAGACCGCCGGCUAAGGUCCCCAAUAACAGCUAAGUGGAAAACGAAGUGGAAAGGCCGUGACAACCAGGAAGUUGGCUUAGAAGCAGCCAUCCUUCAAAGAAAGCGUAAUAGCUCACUGGUCGAGUCCUUCUGCGCGGAAGAUGUAACGGGGCUAAGCUGUUAACCGAAGCCGCGGAUGCACUGGUUAUCCAGUGCGUGGUAGGGGAGCGUUCUGUAAGUCUGCGAAGGCGGUUCGAGAGGACUGCUGGAGAUAUCAGAAGUGCGAAUGCUGACAUGAGUAACGUUAAAGCAGGUGAAAAGCCUGCUCGCCGUAAGCCCAAGGAUUCCUGCUCUACGUUCAUCGGAGCAGGGUGAGUCGGCUCCUAAGGUCAGGCCGAAAGGCGUAGCCGAUGGGAAUCAGGUUAAUAUUCCUGAACCUGCGUCAGAUGCGAUGGGGGGACGGAGCAUGAAAGAUCAUCCGGGUGUUGGAUGUCCCGGUUGACGAGCGUAGGAGGUCUGCAGGCAAAUCCGCAGACGCAUCUCCAAGGCGAAGUCACGUGCCGCCACGGCGGCGAAGUGAUCGGAAGUGCUUCCAAGAAAAGCCUCUAAGCACCAGUCUGACGCGGACCGUACCGCAAACCGACACUGGUGGGCGAGCUGAAUAUGCUCAGGCGCUUGAGAGAACUCGGGAGAAGGAACUCGGCAAAUUGACACCGUAACUUCGGAAGAAGGUGUGCCGUAGUACCGUGAGAGGAGAGACACCUUGAGCGGGAAUCGGUCUCAGAGAAUAGGUGGCUGCGACUGUUUAUUAAAAACACAGCACUCUGCAAAGUCGAAAGACGACGUAUAGGGUGUGAUGCCUGCCCGGUGCUGGAAGAUUAAUUGAUGGGGUGAGAGCCCUUGAUCGAAGUCCCAGUAAACGGCGGCCGUAACUAUAACGGUCCUAAGGUAGCGAAAUUCCUUGUC
rnacentral:rRNA from 1 species